rnacentral:tRNA from 1 species
GCCUGCCAAGCUCCCGUGGACGAGCGCCGGUGUGAAGCUCCGGAGGAUCCGGGUUCGACUCCCGGGGUAGGCAC